GAUGAAGACCGUAGCGAAAUGCGAUAAGUAAUGUGAAUUGCAGAAUUCAGUGAAUCAUCGAAUCUUUGAACGCACAUUGCGCCCCUUGGUAUUCCGAGGGGCAUGCCUGUUCGAGCGUCAUAUUAACCACUCCCGCUUGCGGGGUCUUGGGCUUCGCCUCCGGGCGGGCCUUAAAAUCAGUGGCGGUGCCGUCGGGCUCUACGCGUAGUAAAUUUUCUCGCGAUAGGGUCCCGGUGGAUGCUUGCCAACAACCCCCAACUUCUUAAGGUUGACCUCGGAUCAGGUAGGGAUACCCGCUGAACUUAAGCAUAUCAAUAAGCGGAGGA
rnacentral:misc_RNA from 1 species